AACUAUUUAAAAAUAUUUUUUACUAUUUAAUUUUUGAAGCUAUGUAUUUAAUGUUAUCUUUAAAAUCGAGCCAAACAAGCCAAGCCGAGCUUGAACUUAGAUUUUCAGCUCGGUUUCAAUUCUGAGCCGAGCCCAAGCUUGCCCUGGGUCGACUUUGUUUAUAAUCGAGCCCUACUUGUAUCAUAGCGAAAUAUGAUAUAUAGCCGAUUUACAUGAAUUGUUGACAAUGAUAAGGUUACACUAUUGUUGAUAGAAUAAAGAACUUAUUUCUAAGGUUUAACAUUAUAUCGGUUCGAAAAUUACCCGAAAUUCUAGACUCCAAGCGCCAUUCAUUGAGGUCAUCUCUUAACACGUAGAGGGAAAUUCUUAUUAGCCUACAUGCCCUUGUUUCUGAAUUUACGAACAUGUCCAUCACCAUCACGUAACCAUCCAUGGUGUGUAUAGAGGUAGAAUCGGGCUGACCAUAAAAUUCUCAUCACCAGGCUAUAGUUCAGGUAAUGAUGUGUGGUUUUCUAAGGAAGGCUGCAUGUAUACAUAAAUCGUGAGUCGGGCUCUUAAUAAUAAAAGGAAGCAAUUUGGUCGAAAAAUCAAAUGAAGAACCAUUCUCCAGGGAUCAAGGAUUUCAUUCGGUGUUAGCUGGUCAACUAAAUUGGCCAUGAGUAGUUGAUAUUUAAUGGCUAGAAGAUGAGACAAGUGCCUCCAAAGGCUAACAGGAUUACCUAGAAAAUUAACAAACUCCAAAAUAUAAUGACGGUCAUUCCCAUGUAUUCGUAAACUCUAACAAACCUUCUUAUCAGACAAAAAUUUAACACAUUCCCAUCAGCUAAAACAAGCAUCUUGGGAAACUCACUGAUGUGGACCUUCGAUCAGGUCCACGUAUAAACACCUUGGAUCAAUUUUAUGAGCCACCUCAUGUGCAUGAUUUUGUUGUACAUCCACCAAAAGGAUCCUCUUGUCAAGUAGUUCAAUGGCUGGUCAUGGAUAUAUUCAAGACAAAGUAUGCCUCAUGAUAGUUGCGCUUGAAGAACUAAAUGCCAACUGCAAGAUGUUUCUAUAAGGAUCCUAGAAAAUAUUGCAAUUAGUUUCUAUUUUUUCACUUACUAAUUACACUCUUAUAUUAGUUAUAGGAGACCGGUUUCUCAAACUCGUGAUAUGCAUCCUAGGAGACCUUAUGUCUUUUUAAGAGUUGUACGAUGGAAAAGUUUGAACAAGCUUUUUUAGAUA